rnacentral:rRNA from 1 species
AGUGAACGCUGGCGGUAGGCCUAACACAUGCAAGUCGAACGGCAGCACAGUAAGAGCUUGCUCUUACGGGUGGCGAGUGGCGGACGGGUGAGGAAUACAUCGGAAUCUACUUUUUCGUGGGGGAUAACGUAGGGAAACUUACGCUAAUACCGCAUACGACCUACGGGUGAAAGCAGGGGAUCUUCGCACCUUGCGCGAUUGAAUGAGCCGAUGUCGGAUUAGCUAGUUGGCGGGGUAAAGGCCCACCAAGGCGACGAUCCGUAGCUGGUCUGAGAGGAUGAUCAGGCACACUGGCACUGAGACAGGGUCCAGACUCCUGCGGGAGGCAGCAGUGGGGAAUAUUAGACAAGGGGCGAGAGCCUGAUCCAGCCAUACCGCGUGGGUGAAGAAGGCCUUCGGGUUGUAAAGCCCUUUUGUUGGGAGAGAAGAGCAGCAGGUUAAUACCCCGCUGUUCUGACGGUACCCAAAGAAUAAGCACCGGCUAACUUCGUG